rnacentral:rRNA from 1 species
GACGUAGGGCGCGAGCGUUGUCCGGAUUUAUUGGGCGUAAAGAGCUCGUAGGCGGCUUGUCGCGUUGUUCGUGAAAACUCACAGCUCAACUGUGGGCGUGCGGGCGAUACGGGCAGACUAGAGUACUGCAGGGGAGACUGGAAUUCCUGGUGUAGCGGUGGAAUGCGCAGAUAUCAGGAGGAACACCGGUGGCGAAGGCGGCCUGCUGGGCAGUUUUUGCUGACACUGAGGCGCGACAGCGUGGGGAGCAAACAGG